CUUGGUUCGUUGGAUUCGGGACUGCGAGAGGAAUCCACGAAACCCUUACUUACGAAUUUUGGUGAAGUUUGGAGUUAGCUCGAUUUCGAGACUCGGGCGUUUUUUGUUGAUCCAGCAGAGGGUAUCCUGGUUCGAGGCUUCGUUCGCUGCCAGGGGAUAGCUUUCGAGAGCCACAGGUUCCGGCUGCUGCACCGUCUGCGGACCAGGAUCGAGGCAAGGG